rnacentral:rRNA from 1 species
AGAGUUUGAUCCUGGCUCAGGACGAACGCUGGCGGCGCGCCUAACACAUGCAAGUCGAACGGAAUCAAGAGGAGCUUGCUUUUCUUGAUUUAGUGGCGAACGGGUGAGUAACGCGUGAGUAACCUGCCCUGGAGUGGGGGACAACAGUUGGAAACGACUGCUAAUACCGCAUAAGCCCACGGUACCGCAUGAUACUGAGGGAAAAGGAUUUAUUCGCUUCAGGAUGGACUCGCGUCCAAUUAGCUAGUUGGUGAGGUAACGGCCCACCAAGGCGACGAUUGGUAGCCGGACUGAGAGGUUGAACGGCCACAUUGGGACUGAGACACGGCCCAGACUCCUACGGGAGGCAGCAGUGGGGGAUAUUGCACAAUGGGGGAAACCCUGAUGCAGCGACGCCGCGUGGAGGAAGAAGGUUUUCGGAUUGUAAACUCCUGUCGUUAGGGACGAUAAUGACGGUACCUAACAAGAAAGCACCGGCUAACUACGUGCCAGCAGCCGCGGUAAAACGUAGGGUGCAAGCGUUGUCCGGAAUUACUGGGUGUAAAGGGAGCGCAGGCGGACCGGCAAGUUGGAAGUGAAAUCCAUGGGCUCAACCCGUGAAUUGCUUUCAAAACUGCUGGCCUUGAGUAGUGCAGAGGUAGGUGGAAUUCCCGGUGUAGCGGUGGAAUGCGUAGAUAUCGGGAGGAACACCAGUGGCGAAGGCGACCUACUGGGCACCAACUGACGCUGAGGCUCGAAAGCAUGGGUAGCAAACAGGAUUAGAUACCCUGGUAGUCCAUGCCGUAAACGAUGAUUACUAGGUGUUGGAGGAUUGACCCCUUCAGUGCCGCAGUUAACACAAUAAGUAAUCCACCUGGGGAGUACGACCGCAAGGUUGAAACUCAAAGGAAUUGACGGGGGCCCGCACAAGCAGUGGAGUAUGUGGUUUAAUUCGAAGCAACGCGAAGAACCUUACCAGGUCUUGACAUCCGAUGCAUAGUGCAGAGAUGCAUGAAGUCCUUCGGGACAUCGAGACAGGUGGUGCAUGGUUGUCGUCAGCUCGUGUCGUGAGAUGUUGGGUUAAGUCCCGCAACGAGCGCAACCCUU